UACGUAGGUGGCAAGCGUUGUCCGGAUUUACUGGGCGUAAAGAGCGCGCAGGCGGUCGUUCAAGUCGCGUGUGAAAGCCCCCGGCUCAACUGGGGAGGGUCACGCGAUACUGAGCGACUCGAAGGCAGGAGAGGGUAGUGGAAUUCCCGGUGUAGUGGUGAAAUGCGUAGAUAUCGGGAGGAACACCAGUGGCGAAGGCGACUACCUGGCCUGUUCUUGACGCUGAGGCGCGAAGGCUAGGGGAGCAAACGGG
rnacentral:rRNA from 1 species